UUGUUUUGGCAUGUUUGUAAUUACCUAUUUCUGCUUUCCUUGAAAUUGAGGUUCUUUAUUCUAACUAUGGUUUUGUAGGUGGAUUAUCUAUAGUUUCUGUUUGACAUUUGUUGAAUAUGUUUAGAGUUUAUUAUUUUAGUCUAAUAACUUUGGAGAUACUGAUGAUUGGAUUUUCUUUAUUUGUCUUAGUGAGUGGGCAGUGAACAUUCAACGUGACAGUUAUGCAUCUUAUGUUGGCCACUACCCAAUGUUGGCGUAUUUUGCCAUUGCAGAAAAUGAAUCAAUUGGAAGAGAGCGCUACAAUUUUAUGCAGAAAAUGCUUUUGCCUUGUGGUCUUCUACCUGAAAGGGAAGACGAUUAAGAGUUGCAACGGAUAGCACCCUUUCAGACUCAGACCUCUGUCAAGCCUAAACCUUGCUGCUUUAAUCUCCAGUUCAGAACAUGUAAGGUUGAGUUGAUAUGAAAGAUUUGACUUGUAUUAAUCUGAGUGAUCUAGCAAAAGCACAUUUUGAGUUGUUUCUUCAUGUUCAACUAACAUAUAUAUACAUUUCAUGUUCAUUA